GACGAACGCUGGCGGCGUGCCUAAUACAUGCAAGUCGAACGCAUUUUCUUUCACCGUAGCUUGCUACACCGAAAGAAAAUGAGUGGCGAACGGGUGAGUAACACGUGGGUAACCUGCCCAUCAGCGGGGGAUAACACUUGGAAACAGGUGCUAAUACCGCAUAAUUCCAUUUACCGCAUGGUAAAUGGAUGAAAGGCGCUUUUGCGUCACUGAUGGAUGGACCCGCGGUGCAUUAGCUAGUUGGUGGGGUAACGGCCUACCAAGGCGGCGAUGCAUAGCCGGCCUGAGAGGGUGACCGGCCACACGGGAACGGAGACACGGCCCAGACUCCUACGGGAGGCAGCAGUGGGGAAUCUUGGCCAAGGGGGGCAAUCCUGACCGAGCACGGCCGCGGGAUGGAAGAAGGUUUUCGGUUGGUAAACUCUGUUGUUAGAGAAGAACAAGGAUGAGAGUGGAAAGUUCAUCCCUUGACGGUAUCUAACCAGAAAGCCACGGCUAACUACGUG
rnacentral:rRNA from 1 species